rnacentral:rRNA from 1 species
GGUUUAUGGUUCAAAUGAUUUAUCGCCAUAGGAUGGGACUGCGGUCUAUCAGCUUGUUGGUGAGGUAAUGGCCCACCAAGGCUAUAACAGAUACGGGCUCUGAGAGGAGGGGCCCGGAGAUGGGUACUGAGACACGGACCCAGGUCCUAUGGGGCGCAGCAGGCGAGAAACCUUUGCAAUGUGCGAAAGCACGACAAGGUUAAUCCGAGUGAUUCCUGCUAAAGGAAUCUUUUGUUAGUCAUAAAACCACUGAUGAAUAAGGGGUGGGCAAGUUCUGGUGUCAGCCGCCGCGGUAAUACCAGCACCUCGAGUGGUCAGGAGGUUUAUUGGGCCUAAAGCAUCCGUAGCCGGCUGUUCAAGUUUCCGGUUAAAUCCACACGCUUAACGUAUGGGCUGCCGGAAAUACUGUUCAGCUAGGGAGUGGGAGAGGUAGACGGUACUCGAUAGGAAGGGGUAAAAUCCUUUGAUCUAUUGAUGACCACCUGUGGCGAAGGCGGUCUACCAGAACACGUUCGACGGUGAGGGAUGAAAGCUGGGGGAGCAAACCGGAUUAGAUACCCGGGUAGUCCCAGCUGUAAACGAUGCAGACUCGGUGAUGCAUUGGCUUGUGGCCAGUGCAGUGCCGCAGGGAAGCCGUUAAGUUUGCCGCCUGGGAAGUACGUACGCAAGUAUGAAACUUAAAGGAAUUGGCGGGGGAGCACCACAAGGGGUGAAGCCUGCGGUUCAAUUGGAGUCAACGCCAGAAAUCUUACCCGGGGAGACAGCAGAAUGAAGGUCAAGCUGAAGACUUUACCAGACAAGCUGAGAGGUGGUGCAUGGCCGUCGCCAGCUCGUGCCGUGAGGUGUCCUGUUAAGUCAGGUAACGAGCGAGACCCUUGCCUCUAGUUGCUACCAUUACUCUCUGGAGUAGUGGGGCGAAUUAGCGGGACCGCCACAGUAAUUG